AGCCUAGUGGUUAAGGCUUUGGUUUGCCAAUCCGGAGACGGCGGGUUCGAUUCCCGU
rnacentral:tRNA from 1 species